rnacentral:rRNA from 1 species
UCAGGUGAGUGGCGAACGGGUGAGUAACACGUGGGUAACCUACCUCAUAGUGGGGGAUAACAGUCGGAAACGACUGCUAAUACCGCAUAGGACAUGGAAUCACAUGAUUCUGUGAGGAAAGGUGGCGCAAGCUAUCGCUAAGAGAUGGACCCGCGGUGCAUUAGCUAGUUGGUAGGGUAACGGCCUACCAAGGCGAUGAUGCAUAGCCGACCUGAGAGGGUGAUCGGCCACAUUGGGACUGAGACACGGCCCAAACUCCUACGGGAGGCAGCAGUAGGGAAUCUUCCGCAAUGGACGCAAGUCUGACGGAGCAACGCCGCGUGAGUGAAGAAGGUCUUCGGAUCGUAAAGCUCUGUUGUUAGAGAAGAACAGCGCAUAGAGUAACUGUUAUGCGUGUGACGGUAUCUAACCAGAAAGCCACGGCUAACUACGUGCCAGCAGCCGCGGUAAUACGUAGGUGGCGAGCGUUGUCCGGAUUUAUUGGGCGUAAAGGGAGUGUAGGCGGUCUUUUAAGUCUGAUGUGAAAGCCCACGGCUCAACCGUGGAGGGUCAUUGGAAACUGGGAGACUUGAGUGCAGAAGAGGAGAGCGGAAUUCCAUGUGUAGCGGUGAAAUGCGUAGAUAUAUGGAGGAACACCAGUGGCGAANGCGGCUCUCUGGUCUGUAACUGACGCUGAGGCUCGAAAGCGUGGGGAGCAAACANGAUUAGAUACCCUGGUAGUCCACGCCGUAAACGAUGAGUGCU